AGGAGACUCUUGUAACCAAGGCUCUGAUGGCUCAGAGGUUUCCCACCUUGGGAAGCUGUGAAAUACAAACCAGAGGGGCAGCAGUAGUUCCACGUUCGUCAUGGAAGCUGUGUCUGGGGAUGAAAAUGAAGCAAGGUAUAAAAAGGAACAGAAAAAGAUAGAAAAGAAGACAACUUCCUCGCCUUUACAUUCUGGAAAGAGACGAAGACAAGAAAAAAAGCGUCCAGUUGAGUCUUUGGAUUAUUCAGACAUGGGAAAAGAUGUUCCUGCAAAUGUUGGAACGAGAAGAAGCAAAAGACAAAACUCUCAAACUCGACAGUGGUCUGGUAACGUUUCAGAGGCCGAUCGAGGAGCAUCAAGACGUAGCCUUAGAAGGAGAAAUAUUCACACCUCACCUGAGCCACAACAAAUCAACUCAAAGACUUCUAGCCACGUUGCUGCAAAGCGACCCUAUAAAAUGAAAAAACAUGCCAAACUGCUUCCUGGAGCAAAAGGAGAAAACACAAGUGUUUCAGCUGG